ACACCAGGAGCAACUGGGGAUUCAGUGUUUUGCUCAAGGACACUUCGACACGUGGACUGGACAAGCCAGGAAUCGAGCCGCUAAUAUUCUGGGGUCAUGUGGCCUCUGACAGUGGGGGGAAGGUGAAUCUGUGGGGAUUAGCCUCCACAGUCAACAUACUGACCGCACACCACUCACUCACCGAUGGCCACAGUCCAUAAACACCAGGGCACCAACAGUAGCCUUGUGUGACACACACAAGCACCGUUGACUAUGGUGUCCCUGGAAGAGGAGCUGACCUGCUCCAUGCACCGAGACAUCUUCAGCCAAGCUCAGCCCCUGCCCUGUGGUCACAGCUUCUGCCCCGCCUGCAUCCGUGAUGCCUGGAGCGGCCAUGGGUGAAGGCAGAGGUCACCUGUCCCCAGUGCCAGGUGGAGUAUGGUGAAGUGUUGUGUGACUGCUGCCCCCCUGAGGCAGAGGAAGGGCAGCCAUCAUUGCUGUCAGGGCCUGCCUGAAGUGUGAGGUGUUGCUGUGUUCUGAUCACCUCCAGCCCCUUCUGCAGAGACCAGUGUUUAACACCCACCUGUUAGUGGAGCCGCUGUGGGACCUCUCACAGCAAAGGUGCCCAACACACACAGAGAUAUUCUGCUAUUACUGUGCCAGUGAGAGGAUGUACGUGUGUGGGGAUUGUCUGCUGGAGGGAGGCCAUGCUCAGUAUAAAGUGAAAGCCCUGAGACAAGUGGAAGGGGACCUGAAGGUGAGCUGAAGGUGUAUAAUAUGUGGUUUUUAUGUUUGUUUCUGUACAAGUGUAGGGUUGCUGAACUACUGAAUGUGUGGCUCCACAGGUCAUUCUCCAUACGCUGCUUAGAAAAGCAGAGGAGAAGCUGAAAGAUGAACAGCGAAUCCACAAAUAGCAUGAGACUAUAGAUUCCACCAUGGCUGUGAAUAAAAAUAUUUAAACUGCAAAGCAAAUGCAAAAUAAUGACUCAUUCAGUCGAAGCUGUUCUGCUUAUACUGCCAAAGUUGUGACUUUCAAAAGAUCCUAAAUUUAAAUCCUUUCUAUGUAUAACAUUCAGGUAGGCCUCCUUCUGCUGAUUUUUUUCAGAUGAUUUAAUUAUGUACCAGUCACUGAUCUGGUACCAGUCACUGAUCUCUCACUGUUGUUUGCAGGACUGUCCACAGAAGGACAACACCCAGGUGGAGCGGCUGGGCUCUGACCUGCCAGUCCAGGUGAGAAGGCUGGUGGGAGAUCAUCAAGAGGGAGAGACAGCAGGUCAUUAAGCAUGUGCACAAGGACUUCUCCAAGGUGAGGGAUGACAUAAGCCAGACACUUUGCAUUUAGCAAUACCUGGCCUCGUUGCUGGCAGAGACGGACCCCUUCCUGCUCAUCUGGGUAAGGCUUGCUGCUGAGAAAACACUGCUGCACAUUACCAGGGUAGAAACGAUUUGGGUUCUGUUGGGCUAUGCAGAAUGUCUCAAUCCAGGGGCUCUGUUUGCUACCAAUAUUUAGCUUCUGUUUAGGGGCUGGCAGUGUUGGCUGGUCUUCUCUCUUGGGUCAAGAUGGAAUAUCUCAACAACUAUUGUGUCAGUCACCAUUAAAUUUUGUUCAUAUUGGUUUGUGUUGGUACAGCAGCAAUGUCUGGGGCAGUGGUGGCCUAAAGGUUACAGAAGCGAACUUGUGACAAGAAGGUCGCCAUCUCCAGACUGGCAGGAUUUGACUGGGUGGGACAGGUGACAAAGCAAGACCAGCACUGCCCUCAUCAACACCACUGUGGUGCCCUUAACCUCACUGUCAGCAGGUCACACUGUGGUUGUACAGGGUGGUCCCGAAAGAGAGAGGUGACCUCUCAGUGGACCUACUCUGGCUCAAUAAAGGCUUAAAAAACGAAACUCUGCUGGCCAGAGUGAACACACAGCACAAGACCCUUGUUUUCCAGCCGAGGUUGACAGCGUGCAAAUCUUGCCUGCAACCAGGUUCCUCUCAUUAAAAUACAUUUGACACCAGCAACUUUUCCUGCCUUGGUUGAAUGAACCACCACCUGUUUGCACCUCCUCCCACCUGCACAUCGCAUGCUCUGUGAUUGGCACAAAGAUAUCACAGGGACUUGCGAUGCAAAUUUCAAGAUGAGUGCUGCUUGCUCUGGUCGCUGCCACUAUGAAAACAGAGUCAUUAUUCUUUCAUGGCAUUUGGGAUAUAGCCUGUAGUUGGGGUUUCAGUGCUGAAGUGAUGUUGAUGCUAUUUACCAUGAUGUUCAACUGUUUUAUAUGAUGUGCACCAUAUGAUCUGUGUGGGCAGCUGUGUGAUGACAGGUAGAUAAGACCUGUAGACAAUAGUUAAAUGUUUGUAAGUGGUGCCUCACUGGUGAGAAGGUGUGUAAUGAAUGUACUGACACGCCAUUGUAUUAUGUUACUACUCAUAUACUGUUCACUUUGUUUUACAGAGCCUGUGGAUAUUGUUUUAAGCAUGUGAACACGGCAUCGCUGUUUGCAGUUUGAACCCACAGAGGAUGCUGUUAUCAUGCAGUUUAAUCUUGUUAGUGCUUGGAAAGAGCUGCAGUUUGCAGCACAGCCAUGAGGUUGUUUACCAUUAGUAUUAUUUUUCAUUUUGUCAAAUAUAUUACAGAAAAAAGGUAGCCAACAGAUCUACCCAAUAAAAUAUACCCAGCCACGGAUGUAUAUACUGUAUUUGAAUGAGUGUUGAACCUUUGUUUUCUUAUCCAGUUGUGCCUUUUCACUGAUUUCUGUCAUUCUUUGAAUCAUUUUGUCACAUUUUUCUCUGCCGGCCUUGACUCCUUCUUCACCAGGCCUUUCAGUUAGAUAAAACAAAGUAAGUUCAGAACACAUCAGUGACACUGUGUGAAGUUACACAACCAGACAAAGGUUUGAACACACUCUCUCAUUCAGUUAAAUGGGAAAGCGUGUACAAACAUUUAACUUGAACAGAGAACAUACAGAGCAAGUAUCGAGAUUUCAUCACCGCUGCCUCAGUGAACUCAAGAGGAAGCUCUGUAAGUAGUAGUGGAAUGACACUGUUCCCAGUCUUCAUGCUAAGCUAACUGUCUCCUGGCUUAACUUCAUAUUUAACAGACAGAUGUGAGUGUGGCACCAAUCUUUGCAUCUAGCGCAGGGCAUUAAGAAAAGAAGCAUAUUUCUAUA